UACGUAGGGCGCAAGCGUUGUCCGGAAUUAUUGGGCGUAAAGAGCUCGUAGGCGGCUUGUCACGUCGAUUGUGAAAGCCCGGGGCUUAACUCCGGGUCUGCAGUCGAUACGGGCUAGCUAGAGUGUGGUAGGGGAGAUCGAAUUCCUGGUGUAGCGGUGAAAUGCGCAGAUAUCAGGAGGAACACCGGUGGCGAAGGCGGAUCUCUGGGCCAUUACUGACGCUGAGGAGCGAAAGCGUGGGGAGCGAACAGG
rnacentral:rRNA from 1 species